rnacentral:rRNA from 1 species
GAUGAACGCUGGCGGCGUGCCUAAUACAUGCAAGUCGAGCGAACAGACGAGGAGCUUGCUCCUCUGACGUUAGCGGCGGACGGGUGAGUAACACGUGGAUAACCUACCUAUAAGACUGGGAUAACUUCGGGAAACCGGAGCUAAUACCGGAUAAUAUAUUGAACCGCAUGGUUCAAUAGUGAAAGACGGUUUUGCUGUCACUUAUAGAUGGAUCCGCGCCGCAUUAGCUAGUUGGUAAGGUAACGGCUUACCAAGGCAACGAUGCGUAGCCGACCUGAGAGGGUGAUCGGCCGCCCUGGAAGGGAGACGCGGUAAAGAGGGGGACGGGAGCGAGAAGUAGGGAAUCGUAAGAAAUAGGCGGGAGGAUGGCGGAACAGGGGGGAGUAAGUUAUGAAGGUGUUCGGAGGGUAAAACUGUGUUGUUAGGGGAGAACAAAUGUGGAAGGAAACAAGCACGUAUUGACGGUACUGAAUAAGAAAGCACCGGCUAAGUACGUG